UGGCGUAAUGGUUGUAAGCGGCCCGUCUUGAAACACGGACCAAGGAGUCUUACAUCUGUGCGAGUGUUUGGGUGUCAAACCCGUACGCGUAAUGAAAGUGAACGGAGGCGGGAACCCCUCGGGGUGCACCGUCGACCGAUCCUGAUGUCUUUGGAUGGAUUUGAGUAAGAGCAUAGCUGUUGGGACCCGAAAGAUGGUGAACUAUGCCUGAAUAGGGUGAAGCCAGAGGAAACUCUGGUGGAGGCUCGCAGCGGUUCUGACGUGCAAAUCGAUCGUCAAAUUUGGGCAUAGGGGCGAAAGACUAAUCGAACUAUCUAGUAGCUGGUUCCUGCCGAAGUUUCCCUCAGGAUAGCAGUAACGUUUUCAGUUUUAUGAGGUAAAGCGAAUGAUUAGAGGCCUGGGGGUUGAAACAACCUUCACCUAUUCUCAAACUUUAAAUAUGUAAGAAGUCCUUGUUGCUUAGUUGAACGUGGACAUUUGAAUGUAUCGUUACUAGUGGGCCAUUCUUGGUAAGCAGAACUGGCGAUGCGGGAUGAACCGAACGCGGAGUUAAGGUGCCGGAAUGCACGCUCAUCAGACACCACAAAAGGUGUUGGUUCAUCUAG
rnacentral:rRNA from 1 species